AACUUUGUGGUUAGUAAGACUGCCUGCCACGCAGAUGGUACCGGGUUCAAUUCCCGGUGGGGUCA